AUUUAAUUGAAUUGCAUUUUCACAUAUUAAAGUGUACUUUAUUUGCAUGUUCAUUGACAUUGUGUCAAAAUGCCUGGGUCAACACACAUGACGCCUCUGUCUUUGACAGCUUUGGUUUGAACUUUGAAGACCUUUCCUGGAAGAAAACCACCUGGGAUACCUACUUGGCGACUCCGGCUAUUCGUAAAACAAUAUGUAUAAACGCCCUUGCUUAGGCCGACAACAGAUGCAGUGGUGAGGUACAACCAUGCCCAGUCAAGUUGUUGGAUUGUGGUUGAGAGGGCUUUUGGACUGCUGAUAGUAGAUUAAGGUGUCUACAUAAAACUGGAGGAUGUUUAUUCAUGAGACUCGAUGAGUGCUGUCAAGCAGUGGAUGCAUGAAUGCGCCUACACAACUUAUGCAUAGAUCAGCAGGUACCACUGCCUGAACAACUUAUUGAGGCAUAGGACGUGGAUUAUGUUGUGCACGGUGCCCCACAAUAGGAUAAACUGCAGCACUUAUAGACAUGAUUAACUUAUUUAUGUAGGUGUUGUGUCAUGCUCACUUAUGCAUGAAGUGCUAUAGGUCAACCAUUGUGGUCUGUCUAUGCCCAGCUUCAUGCAUUAUCCACAUUUGAUGCUAUGUUGAUGAAAGUUGGUCAUGUUUUUGUUAAUAAUAUCUAGGCUAUCCUCAAGUGUGGUCA